AGCUUUGUGCAGUGGCAGUAUAAUAGCCAUGAGGUUUAUCCAAGGCACAAUGAUUGCUAAUUGAAAACUGUUCCCUGUACAUGUCCUUUUGAUGAAGCUUGUUAAUUGUAUUAUCCUUUCUGUGUGCUACUAAUUUUUGGUCUGUGUGACAUCAA
rnacentral:snRNA from 1 species